UGACGAGGCACUACGGUGCUGAAGCAACAAAUGCCCUGCUUCCAGGAAAAGCCUCUAAGCAUCAGGUAACAUCAAAUCGUACCCCAAACCGACACAGGUGGUCAGGUAGAGAAUACCAAGGCGCUUGAGAGAACUCGGGUGAAGGAACUAGGCAAAAUGGUGCCGUAACUUCGGGAGAAGGCACGCUGAUAUGUAGGUGAAGUCCCUCGCGGAUGGAGCUGAAAUCAGUCGAAGAUACCAGCUGGCUGCAACUGUUUAUUAAAAACACAGCACUGUGCAAACACGAAAGUGGACGUAUACGGUGUGACGCCUGCCCGGUGCCGGAAGGUUAAUUGAUGGGGUCAGCGCAAGCGAAGCUCUUGAUCGAAGCCCCGGUAAACGGCGGCCGUAACUAUAACGGUCCUAAGGUAGCGAAAUUCCUUGUCGGGUAAGUUCCGACCUGCACGAAUGGCGUAAUGAUGGCCAGGCUGUCUCCACCCGAGACUCAGUGAAAUUGAACUCGCUGUGAAGAUGCAGUGUACCCGCGGCAAGACGGAAAGACCCCGUGAACCUUUACUAUAGCUUGACACUGAACAUUGAGCCUUGAUGUGUAGGAUAGGUGGGAGGCUUUGAAGUGUGGACGCCAGUCUGCAUGGAGCCGACCUUGAAAUACCACCCUUUAAUGUUUGAUGUUCUAACGUGGACCCGUGAUCCGGGUUGCGGACAGUGUCUGGUGGGUAGUUUGACUGGGGCGGUCUCCUCCUAAAGAGUAACGGAGGAGCACGAAGGUUGGCUAAUCCUGGUCGGACAUCAGGAGGUUAGUGCAAUGGCAUAAGCCAGCUUGACUGCGAGCGUGACGGCGCGAGCAGGUGCGAAAGCAGGUCAUAGUGAUCCGGUGGUUCUGAAUGGAAGGGCCAUCGCUCAACGGAUAAAAGGUACUCCGGGGAUAACAGGCUGAUACCGCCCAAGAGUUCAUAUCGACGGCGGUGUUUGGCACCUCGAUGUCGGCUCAUCACAUCCUGGGGCUGAAGUAGGUCCCAAGGGUAUGGCUGUUCGCCAUUUAAAGUGGUACGCGAGCUGGGUUUAGAACGUCGUGAGACAGUUCGGUCCCUAUCUGCCGUGGGCGCUGGAGAACUGAGGGGGGCUGCUCCUAGUACGAGAGGACCGGAGUGGACGCAUCACUGGUGUUCGGGUUGUCAUGCCAAUGGCACUGCCCGGUAGCUAAAUGCGGAAGAGAUAAGUGCUGAAAGCAUCUAAGCACGAAACUUGCCCCGAGAUGAGUUCUCCCUGACCCUUUAAGGGUCCUGAAGGAACGUUGAAGACGACGACGUUGAUAGGCCGGGUGUGUAAGCGCAGCGAUGCGUUGAGCUAACCGGUACUAAUGAACCGUGAGGCUUAACCUU
rnacentral:rRNA from 2 species